rnacentral:pre_miRNA from 1 species
ACACCAGUCAUCUGGGGAUCAUGCUAAAAUGCAGAUUCUGAUUCCAUGGUUCUGGGAUGAGACCUGAGACUCUGCAUUCCUAACAAGCUCCCAGAUGAUGUUGAU